AUUGAACGCUGGCGGCAGGCCUAACACAUGCAAGUCGAACGAGUGGCGGACGGGUGAGUAAUGUCUGGGAAAAUGCACGAUGGAGGGGGAUCACUACUGGAAACGGUAGCUAAUACCGCAUACCAUCGGAUGUGCCCAGAUGGGAGUAGCUUGUAGGUGAGGUAACGGCUCACCUAGGCGACGAACCCUAGCUGGUAUGAGAGGAUGACCAGCCACAUGGGAACUGAGACACGGUCCAGACUCCUACGGGAGGCAGCAGUGGGGAAUAUUGCACAAUGGGCGCAAGCCUGAGGCAGCCAGGCCGCGUGGAUGAAGAAGGCCUUCGGGUUGUAAAGUACUUUCAACGGGGAGGCGUUACCCGAAGAAGAAGCACCGGCUAACUCCGUGCCAGCAGCCGCGGUAAUUC
rnacentral:rRNA from 1 species